CCGUGAACCAACAUUGUUAAGCGUCUCUGAAAAAAUGGGAGUUAGGAAGAAAUUUUAAUGGCGGCAAGGGCUGAGGCAAAGAGGGGAGAGCAGUGUGAAUCAGUGGCUCUGAAAUACCUGUAGGUUUUCUACAGGGUGCCCUGCCAAUUCAGCCCUUUCACAUCAAACCUUGAUGGCAUCAUAGUACGGGUUAUGUGCUCGAUGGCUUGCGGUGGACGUGUGCUUCGGUUCCGAUGGAUCUUGAACAAGCUUUAUCGAGCGAAGUUACUCUCCGCUGCACAUCGUUCUAUUUUUCACGAACCCGCCUCCAAACGCCAUUACACGACGAUCAAAGGUCAUUGCUGCAUUUGAAAUUUUUUUGAGAUAAAUAAAUCAAAAUCUAGUGCUAUUACUGUCGCGAGUUAUAACUGAUAGAUUUGGAUUGGUGUGUUUGUGUUCUUCUCCAUUCUUCUACAAAAAAUUAUGCGUUUCUUCAUGCGUGAUUUGCGUUUGAAUUGGCAAUAUGAGCAAAUCUUGUUUUACCAAACAGAUCACAAGGUUUUAAACAAACAUGAGCACUUUUUUAUGGCAUUUAUGAAUUAAUUUUUACGCUGAUUUGCUCUAAAUUGAUUAGCAACAGAAGUCUCAAAUGUAGUUUGAAUGCUGUAUGCUUUAUUGCAAGUUGAACCAGAGAAGUGGAAUUUAUCCAUUUUUGAGGAGGAACAUCAUAAAACAAACAACAGCGAGGAGGAAAUUUCAUAUAUUUUUUGUGCAGUUAUCGUUUGUCUAGAUUUACUGCAAUGGACAUUGAAGAUCUUUUUUUUAUCUCUAAUGAUGCAAUACUUUCGUUCUCCUGAGCUUUAUAGUGCUGAAAAAAUUUGGAGACCUGAGCUGAAGAGUUUCAAAGAUCUUCUGUGUCUCUCUGUUCCUUUGUUUAGAAAUGAGAGAUGGAACUUAUUACAUGUCAUAUAUUAUGAUUUCAUCCUGUUGUUUUUGCAUUAAUAAUUAUUAUUUAAUGAUGUGAUUUGGUACAAUAAUUUACCAACAUUAUAAUGUAUGAAUGUGGUAUCAUAUUAAUGUUCUUUCGUUAAAUUCGUAUUGUGUGAUGAGAAUGUAUUUUUGCAUUCUAAUUGGUGUUUUUCUUUAUCUCUUAUGAUGCAAUUAAACUUUCAUUCUCCUGAGCUUUAUAGUGCUGAAAAAACUUGGAGACCUGAGCUGAAGAGUUUCAAAGAUCUUCUAUGUUAGUUAUGUUAUUAUGUACUUUACUGGUUUCCAUUGUUUAGAAAUGAGAGGUAGAACUUAUGACAUGUCAUAUAUUAUGAGUUCAUCCUGUUGUUUUUGCAUUAAUAAUUAUUUUUGUAAUUUUUUUAAUGAUAUGAUUUGGUAUAAUAAUUUGCCAACAUUAGCAUAUUGGGAUUGUUUGAACAACUUGCGUAAUUAAUCAUUGACUUCUCGCCAAUUGAUUCUGAGUAAUUUUAUCAAGAUCAAAAGCAAAUUGUGCAAAGGCUUUAUCAUCUGUUGAAGCAAAUCUCAGAAGACUUAUGACCGUGUUGAGCCUGCUGAUGGAAAAAGAUUUGAGUCAACUUUUGCUUGAAAAAUGAAAGCCAAUCUUCAUCCUUGUCAUGGCCAAACAGAAACCCAGUCUUCCAUCAUUGCCUGAGAGUUCAUUGGCUGGUCAAUUGGCACAAAAUGGCCAGCUCCCAUCACACCACUUCAUGGCUCAAACUCCCCCACUUUUGUACAUACCCUACAAGUUCCUCCAUUUACUUUCCAAACCUGUCUCUCAGCCUUCAAAAAAUUUCCUAUGUCCUCCCAUUUCAGUGUCUUGAUCCAUUUCAGUGUCUUGACCCAUGCAUCAGUGGAAACCACACCAUCUCUUAAAUCAAACUGCCCUUGAUACAGCAAAACCUUACUCUUUUUAACCAAGAAUGCCAUCAUGUAUUUCACACUCUUCAUCACAUCCUCGUCCAGUGCAGCCACUAUCACAUAGCUUCAAUCUUCAUACACCAUUGAUUCUUUCACUCCCAACGCCUUCUUUCGCUGCAUCAUGCUGCAUCAUGGUUCAAAAACCUGAUCACCAAGGCCGCUUUCUUUGUAAAGUCAUACAAAGUGACCAAGCAUGUCAUGUCCAAUCUGUUUCUUGCAUCUGUUGCUUCACUCCACUUUCCCAUUUUAAGUUUUAACUAGUUUAACAGCCUCAGACUGACCUUUCUCCAAUUCCACCUUUUGCUUCCCAUUGAUUAGACCAGAAUAGUAAGCAUUCAAGGCAUUUGUAUUGACUUGCUGCGAAUCUUGUAACCGCUCAUUCUUCUUCAACAUCAGUGUUCAUAAGUUGUAUUAACCUGAACAAUAAGUCUUUUCAUAUUAUAGUGAUUUUUAUGCACUCCUUUGUUUUCUA